GCCCGAAUCAACCAGCGGCAUCCAAUCGUUCCAAGGGCCGAAAACCGUUGCAAUGCCAUUGAAAACUAGCCAUUCUCAACAACGACCAGCAACCACCCGAAAUCUGCCUUUUCGCCCUUUCACGGCGGUAGCACGGGUUCGAAUCCCGUUACGGGUACCA
rnacentral:tRNA from 1 species